AGCGUUGUGCAGGGACAGUAUUGUAGCCAAUGAGGUUUAUCUGAGGUGCGAUUAUUGCUAAUUGAAAAAUGAGAGUAAGAUUUGUUUUGUUGUUUUUGCUUUUUUUCCCCCACAAAGUUUUUUUUCCUCCUUUGAGU